rnacentral:lncRNA from 1 species
CUCCUGGUGACAACUGGCCUUGCCUUUGACUCCUUAGGCGUAUAAGGCAUUUUGUCUCCCUAGCUAUGACUGUACGUGAUUCCAAGUUGGAGACUUUGAAAUGUCCCCCACCCCACACUGCCUGGAUGGACAGCAUCAGUGGCUCUUUAUUCUGAGUGAACAAAUAAUUCAAGCCAACACCCUUCUGCCCCAGCUGGGUCAUCAGUGAUUGGCCUGGAGUGAUUGGCAGCUCAGAGUUUUAGAGCUGGACUGGGGAGAGACAAGUAACAAGCAAGCCAUUGAAAAAUAGAAGCCAGGCAUGGUGCUGCAUACCUGUAAUACAAGCAUUUGGGAGGCUGAGGCAGGAGGAGCACCUUGAGAUCAAAGCCAGCCUGAAUUACACAGUAAGACCCUGUCUCAAAAAAAAAAAAAAAAAAAAAAAAGAAUAUAUUGAGCUGUGUGUGGUGAUGCAUGCCUGCAAUCCCAGCACUUGAGAGGCUCAGGCAGGAGGAU